UUGAGUGGGUGUGUUUUUCUGCAUUAAAUAAUUUCUAUAAGGUCUUCGGCGGGAUCCCAGAUCCCAACAAUUUGGAACCCCCCCCUCUCUCUCUCUCUCUCUCUCUCUCUAAAACCUUUGUAUCUCUUCUCAUUUUCUCUUUAAAACCCUCUAAUCUUAGAUCCGAUCUGUCGUCGUUCGCUGUUGUCCUGCACCACCGUUCAUUGAGCAACCAAAUCUGCAAAUCCAUAAUCGUCGUAGGUAUAACUUGUGUGCAAUGGCAAGCCAGAAGCGAGGAAGCUAUAUUUCAAAUCUGUGCCAUUCUAAACCAUAAUUUGAACCAGAUUCUCUAAUCUCGAAGCUUCUGUGUCGUCUCUCUCUUCUUCUAGAUCAAGGUGAUCAACCCGGAAACCAACCUUAGGUCAACCUCAGAAGUUCUUUUGUGAACCUAUGUCAAGCCACCCAAGAUGCACCUCUGUGUCGAGGCUUUAACCUUGUAUUGUUAGAAUUUUGUAUUUUAUGAAUUUAUGCAUAUGUGUGUGGGAUCUAUAUAAGCUUUGUUAUUGUAAUUGUGAAUAUAAAAAGUGUAGUUAAAUGUUUUAA